rnacentral:rRNA from 1 species
UACGUAGGGUGCGAGCGUUGUCCGGAAUUAUUGGGCGUAAAGGGCUCGUAGGCGGUUUGUCGCGUCGGGAGUGAAAACCCAGGGCUUAACCCUGGGCUGGCUUCCGAUACGGGCAGACUAGAGGUAUGCAGGGGAGAACGGAAUUCCUGGUGUAGCGGUGAAAUGCGCAGAUAUCGGGAAGAACACCUAUGGCGAAGGCAGCUCUCUGGGACGGUACUGACGCUGAGACGCGAAAGCGUGGGGAGCGAACAGG